GCUCCAAUAGCUUAAUUACCAAAGCACCGGUCUUGUAAUCCGGAGAUUGAAGGUUUAAACCCCUCUUGAAGCC
rnacentral:tRNA from 1 species